GCGACGAUGGUGUAGUGGUAUCAUACCUGCUUUGGGUGCAGGUGGUCGUCAGUUCAAUCCUGGCUCGUCGCC
rfam:Saitoella complicata NRRL Y-17804 DNA, contig: contig031, whole genome shotgun sequence.